GUUAAAUGCUGCACUAUUCACUUUAGACCAGGUUUUUCUUGGUCAAUGGCAGGAUCACUUCCCUCUGCCUCAAGUUAGCAAUACGCCAAGAAUGCACCUGAACACACCUCCCUGUAAGACCAGCACGCCCAUUGGCACACAGAUGGGCGCAGAUGCAUUUGAUAUUCAAACGGCACGGGCGCUGGACGG